CCUACGGGUGGCAGCAGUGAGGAAUAUUGGUCAAUGGGCGCGAGCCUGAACCAGCCAAGUAGCGUGAAGGAUGACUGCCCUACGGGUUGUAAACUUCUUUUAUAAAGGAAUAAAGUGAGGCACGUGUCCCUUUUUGUAUGUACUUUAUGAAUAAGGAUCGGCUAACUCCGUGCCAGCAGCCGCGGUAAUACGGAGGAUCCGAGCGUUAUCCGGAUUUAUUGGGUUUAAAGGGGGCGUAGAUGGGUUGUUAAGUCAGUUGUGAAAGUUUGCGGCUCAACCGUAAAACUGCAAUUGAUACUGGCAGCCUUGAGUACGGGAGAGGUAGUCGGAAUUCGUGGUGUAGCGGUGAAAUGCUUAGAUAUCACGAAGAACUCCGAUUGCGAAGGCAGCUUACUAAACUGCCACUGACAUUGAUGCUCGAAAGUGUGGGUAUCAAACAGGAUUAGAUACCCGGGUAGUC
rnacentral:rRNA from 1 species